rnacentral:rRNA from 1 species
GUGGGGAAUAUUGGACAAUGGGCGCAAGCCUGAUCCAGCCAUGCCGCGUGAGUGAUGAAGGCCCUAGGGUUGUAAAGCUCUUUCACCGGUGAAGAUAAUGACGGUAACCGGAGAAGAAGCCCCGGCUAACUUCGUGCCAGCAGCCGCGGUAAUACGAAGGGGGCUAGCGUUGUUCGGAAUUACUGGGCGUAAAGCGCACGUAGGCGGGUAUUUAAGUCAGGGGUGAAAUCCCAGAGCUCAACUCUGGAACUGCCUUUGAUACUGGGUACCUAGAGUAUGGAAGAGGUAAGUGGAAUUCCGAGUGUAGAGGUGAAAUUCGUAGAUAUUCGGAGGAACACCAGUGGCGAAGGCGGCUUACUGGUCCAUUACUGACGCUGAGGUGCGAAAGCGUGGGGAGCAAACAGGAUUAGAAACCCCGGUAGUCC